CCUGUCUCCUAGGUAGCGAAAGGCCCCGUUGAGUUCUGCUUUGCAGUGCCUACGUAGUGCGGGGUUCCUGCAAGGUUUCUUUCCUAAAGAAUCCUGUUGGACACACAUUCUCAGGAGAAGGAAUUUGAAAACCUUUUCAAGAAAACUGGGAUGCCCAUUAAGAAGGACCUGCGAUGCACUGGUACAUGCCGAUGUCGGGGGCCGCGAGGCUGUGGAUUUUUAGUGAGCCUGACUUGGUGAUGCCGAGCCUCUUGGAGUUCUGCAGACAACGGCCAUCCUUCUCCCACUGGAUCAGAGAUUUCUGGAAUCGUCGUACUGGGCAUUUAAUAAUCACAGACGUGUUGGGCAGCAAGUAGGCCCUGCUCCCAACGGUCAGGUUAAUGCGCUUCUCCUCCCUUGUCUGAAUAUAGACUCUCUGGACACCGAGGAUCUGGGGCCCCUGCUCACCAGGUUUUGUCUCCACCUCUGGUUUCAUUUCUGCAGGGGAAAAAAAAAAGAAA